AUUGAACGCUGGCGGCAGGCCUAACACAUGCAAGUCGAGCGGAUGAAGGGAGCUUGCUCCUGGAUUCAGCGGCGGACGGGUGAGGAAUGCCUAGGAAUCUGCCUGGUAGUGGGGGAUAACGUCCGGAAACGGGCGCUAAUACCGCAUACGUCCUGAGGGAGAAAGUGGGGGAUCUUCGGACCUCACGCUAUCAGAUGAGCCUAGGUCGGAUUAGCUAGUUGGUGGGGUAAAGGCCUACCAAGGCGACGAUCCGUAACUGGUCUGAGAGGAUGAUCAGUCACACUGGAACUGAGACACGGUCCAGACUCCUACGGGAGGCAGCAGUGGGGAAUAUUGGGCAAUGGGCGAAAGCCUGAUCCAGCCAUGCCGCGUGUGUGAAGAAGGUCUUCGGAUUGUAAAGCACUUUAAGUUGGGAGGAAGGGCAGUAAGUUAAUACCUUGCUGUUUUGACGUUACCAACAGAAUAAGCACCGGCUAACUUCGUG
rnacentral:rRNA from 1 species